rnacentral:rRNA from 1 species
ACGAAGGGUGCAAGCGUUAAUCGGAAUUACUGGGCGUAAAGGGUGCGUAGGCGGUUCGUUAAGUCUGUCGUGAAAUCCCCGGGCUCAACCUGGGAAUGGCGAUGGAUACUGGCGAGCUAGAGCGUGUCAGAGGAUGGUGGAAUUCCCGGUGUAGCGGUGAAAUGCGUAGAUAUCAGGAGGAACACCCGAGGCGAAGGCGGCUCUCUGGGUCGUACCUGACGCUGAGGCGCGAAAGCGUGGGGAGCGAACGGGA